rnacentral:misc_RNA from 1 species
GGAAGAACGCAGCGAAAUGCGAUAAGUAAUGUGAAUUGCAGAAUUCAGUGAAUCAUCGAAUCUUUGAACGCACAUUGCGCCCGCCAGUAUUCUGGCGGGCAUGCCUGUUCGAGCGUCAUUACAACCCUCAGGCCCCCGGGCCUGGCGUUGGGGAUCGGCGGAGCCCCCCGUGGGCACACGCCGUCCCCCAAAUGCAGUGGCGGUCCCGCCGCAGCUUCCAUCGCGUAGUAGCUAACACCUCGCGACUGGAGAGCGGCGCGGCCACGCCGUAAAACACCCAACUCUUCUGAAGUUGACCUCGAAUCAGGUAGGAAUACCCGCUGAACUUAAGCAUAUCAAUAAGCGGAGGA